rnacentral:rRNA from 1 species
UACGAAGGGGGCUAGCGUUGUUCGGAAUCACUGGGCGUAAAGCGCACGUAGGCGGAUUGUUAAGUCGGGGGUGAAAUGCCAAGGCUCAACCUUGGAACUGCCUUCGAUACUGGCAAUCUGGAGUCCGGGAGAGGUGAGUGGAACUGCGAGUGUAGAGGUGAAAUUCGUAGAUAUUCGCAAGAACACCAGUGGCGAAGGCGGCUCACUGGCCCGGUACUGACGCUGAGGUGCGAAAGCGUGGGGAGCAAACAGG